AUUGAACGCUGGCGGCAGGCCUAACACAUGCAAGUCGAGCGGAUGAGGGGAGCUUGCUCCCUGAUUUAGCGGCGGACGGGUGAGUAAUGCCUAGGAAUCUGCCUGGUAGUGGGGGAUAACGUUCCGAAAGGAACGCUAAUACCGCAUACGUCCUACGGGAGAAAGCUGGGGACCUUCGGGCCUUGCGCUAUCAGAUGAGCCUAGGUCGGAUUAGCUAGUUGGUGAGGUAAUGGCUCACCAAGGCGACGAUCCGUAACUGGUCUGAGAGGAUGAUCAGUCACACGGGAACUGAGACACGGUCCAGACUCCUACGAGAGGCCGCAGUGGGGAAUAUUGGACAAUGGGCGAAAGCCUUAUACAGCCAUGGCGCGUGUGUGAAGAAGGUCUUCGGAUUGUAAAGCACUUUAAGUUGGGAGGAAGGGCUGCUGGUUAAUACCCUGCGGUUUUGACGUUACCAACAGAAUAAGCACCGGCUAACUUCGUG
rnacentral:rRNA from 1 species